GACGAACGCUGGCGGCGUGCUUAACACAUGCAAGUCGAACGGGAUCCGGGCUUUCGGGUUUGGUGAGAGUGGCGAACGGGUGAGUAACACGUGAGUAACCUGCCCCCUUCUUUGGGAUAACGUCGGGAAAUCGGCGCUAAUACUGGAUAUUCUUGCUGCAUCGCAUGGUGUGGUUUGGAAAGGGUUUCUGGUGGGGGAUGGGCUCGCGGCCUAUCAGCUUGUUGGUGGGGUGAUGGCCUACCAAGGCUUUGACGGGUAGCCGGCCUGAGAGGGUGUCCGGCCAAACUGGGACUGAGACACGGCCCAGACUCCUACGGGAGGCAGCAGGGGGGAAUAUUGCACAAUGGGCGCAAGCCUGAUGCAGCGACGCCGCGUGAGGGAUGACGGCCUUCGGGUUGUAAACCUCUUUCAGUAUGGAACAAGGAUCCUUCUUUUGGGGGGUUUGAGGGUACGUGCAGAAGAAGCGCCGGCUAACUACGUG
rnacentral:rRNA from 1 species